GGGGCCAUAGCUCAGUGGCAGAGCGCUCGCUUUGCAUUUAGAUCGCUUGCGAGAGGUCUAGGGUUCGAUCCCCUAUCGCUCCA
rnacentral:tRNA from 1 species